UACAGAGGUGGCAAGCGUUGUUCGGAAUUACUGGGCGUAAAGGGCGCGUAGGCGGCCUUGUAAGUCCUGUGUGAAAUCCCCCGGCUCAACUGGGGAACUGCACAGGAGACUGCUUGGCUUGAGUUCGGGAGAGGGAAGCGGAAUUCCGGGUGUAGCGGUGAAAUGCGCAGAUAUCAGGAGGAACACCGGUGGCGAAGGCGGGUCUCUGGGCCGAUACUGACGCUGAGGAGCGAAAGCGUGGGGAGCAAACAGG
rnacentral:rRNA from 1 species